UACAGAGGGGGCAAGCGUUGUUCGGAAUUACUGGGCGUAAAGGGCGCGUAGGCGGUUGGAUAAGUCAGCUGUGAAAACCACGGGCUUAACUCGUGGCCUGCAGUUGAGACUGUCUGGCUUGAGUGUGGGAGAGGAGAGUGGAAUUCCUGGUGUAGCGGUGAAAUGCGCAGAUAUCAGGAGGAACACCGGUGGCGAAGGCGGGUCUCUGGGCCGAUGACUGACGCUGAGGAGCGAAAGCGUGGGGAGCAAACAGG
rnacentral:rRNA from 1 species